ACCAUCAAAACUGCCGAGACGGAACGAGUGCCAGCUAUCCUGAGGGAAACUUCGGAGGGAACCAGCUACUAGAUGGUUCGAUUAGUCUUUCGCCCCUAUACCCAGGUCGGGUGAUCAAUUUGCACGUCAGGACCGCUACAGACCUCCACCAGAGUUUUCUCUGGCUUCGCCCUGCCCCGGCAUAGUUCACCAUCUUUCAGGUCCUAGCACGUACGCUCAUGCUCCACCUCCCCGAUGGGGCGGGCAAGACAGGCCGGUGGUGCGCCCUCUGCGAAUCGGUGGCCUCGGGAUCCCACCUCAGCCAGCCCGUGCCAGCCCUCACCUUCAUUGCGCAACGGGCUUUCGCUCCAAGUCUCUGU